rnacentral:rRNA from 1 species
AAAGAUUAAGCCAUGCAUGUCUAAGUAUAAGCAAUUAUACAGCGAAACUGCGAAUGGCUCAUUAUAUAAGUUAUCGUUUAUUUGAUAGUACCUUACUACUUGGAUAACCGUGGUAAUUCUAGAGCUAAUACAUGCUAAAAACCCCGACCUCUGGAAGGGGUGUAUUUAUUAGAUAAAAAACCAAUGCCUUCGGGCUCCUUGGUGAUUCAUGAUAACUUUACGAAUCGCAUGGCCUUGUGCCGGCGAUGGUUCGUUCAAAUUUCUGCCCUAUCAACUUUCGAUGGUAGGAUAGUGGCCUACCAUGGUUU